UGUGUGCCUUGGCGUCUCGAGGGUUCGAUUCUGGCUCAGGAUGAACGCUGGCGGCGUGCCUAACACAUUCAAGUCGAACGGAGAUAUCAAGUAGCAAUAUGAGGUAUCUUAGUGGCGGACGGGUGAGUAACGCGUGAGCAACCUGCCCCGGAGUGCGGAAUAACGUCUGGAAACGGACGCUAAUACCGCAUGAUACACAGAGGACGCAUGGACUUUGUGUCAAAGAGAAAUCGCUCCUGGAUGGGCUCGCGUCCGAUUAGUUAGUUGGUGAGGUAAUGGCUCACCAAGACCGCGAUCGGUAGCCGGACUGAGAGGUUGAACGGCCACAUGGAACUGAGAAACGGUCCAGACUCCUACGGGAGGCAGCAGGUGGGGAAUAUUGGACAAUGGGACGAAAGCCUGACCCAGCGACGCCGCGUGAGGAAGAAGGUCUUCGGAUUGUAAACCUCUGUUGACAGGGAAAGAAAAAAUGACGGUACCUGUCGAGGAAGCCACGGCUAACUACGUGCCAGCCGCCGC
rnacentral:rRNA from 1 species